UACGUAGGGGGCAAGCGUUAUCCGGAUUUACUGGGUGUAAAGGGGGCGCAGGCGGCAGCGCAAGCCAGGAGUGAAAGCCCGGGGCCCAACCCCGGGACUGCUCUUGGAACUGCGCGGCUGGAGUGCAGGAGGGGCAGGCGGAAUUCCUGGUGUAGCGGUGAAAUGCGUAGAUAUCAGGAGGAACACCGGUGGCGAAGGCGGCCUGCUGGACUGCGACUGACGUUGAGGCCCGAAAGCGUGGGGAGCAAACAGG
rnacentral:rRNA from 1 species